rnacentral:rRNA from 1 species
ACGGGUGAGUAAUGUCUGGGGAUCUGCCCGAUAGAGGGGGAUAACCACUGGAAACGGUGGCUAAUACCGCAUAACGUCGCAAGACCAAAGAGGGGGACCUUCGGGCCUCUCACUAUCGGAUGAACCCAGAUGGGAUUAGCUAGUAGGCGGGGUAACGGCCCACCUAGGCGACGAUCCCUAGCUGGUCUGAGAGGAUGACCAGCCACACUGGAACUGAGACACGGUCCAGACUCCUACGGGAGGCAGCAGUGGGGAAUAUUGCACAAUGGGCGCAAGCCUGAUGCAGCCAUGCCGCGUGUAUGAAGAAGGCCUUCGGGUUGUAAAGUACUUUCAGCGGGGAGGAAGGCGAUAAGGUUAAUAACCUUGUCGAUUGAUGUUACCCGCAGAAGAAGCACCGGCUAACUCCGUGCCAGCAGCCGCGGUAAUACGGAGGGUGCAAGCGUUAAUCGGAAUUACUGGGCGUAAAGCGCACGCAGGCGGUCUGUUAAGUCAGAUGUGAAAUCCCCGGGCUUAACCUGGGAACUGCAUUUGAAACUGGCAGGCUUGAGUCUCGUAGAGGGGGGUAGAAUUCCAGGUGU